GAUGAAGAACGUAGCAAAAUGCGAUAAGUAAUGUGAAUUGCAGAAUUCAGUGAAUCAUCGAAUCUUUGAACGCACAUGGCGCCUUCCAGUAUCCUGGGAGGCAUGCCUGUCCGAGCGUCGUUUCAACCCUCGAGCCCCCGUGGCCCGGCGUUGGGGAUCUGCCACGGCAGGCCCCUAAAACCAGUGGCGGACCCGAAGGCCCUCUCCUUUGCGCAGUAGCAUCAGCCUCGCAUUGGGAUCCCUCGGCGUCCUGCCUCUAAACCCCCCACAAGUCCGCUCCGGCGGCACCAAGGUUGACCUCGGAUCAGGUAGGAAUACCCGCUGAACUUAAGCAUAUCAAUAAGCGGAGGA
rnacentral:misc_RNA from 1 species